CGGGGGAGGCCGGAUCCUGGGCUGUGUCCCGGCGCCCUGUGCUCCCGGGGCCUGCGCUGUUGGAUUCGCGCUCCCGCCCCGCAGCCCCCU
rnacentral:pre_miRNA from 1 species